rnacentral:rRNA from 1 species
AGUGAACGCUGGCGGUAGGCCUAACACAUGCAAGUCGAACGGCAGCACAGUAAGAGCUUGCUCUUACGGGUGGCGAGUGGCGGACGGGUCAGGAAUACAUCGGAAUCUACUUUUUCGUGGGGGAUAACGUAGGGAAACUUACGCUAAUACCGCAUACGACCUACGGGUGAAAGCAGGGGAUCUUCGGACCUUGCGCGAUUGAAUGAGCCGAUGUCGGAUUAGCUAGUUGGCGGGGUAAAGGCCCACCAAGGCGACGAUCCGUAGCUGGUCUGAGAGGAUGAUCAGCCACACUGGAACUGAGACACGGUCCAGACUCCUACGGGAGGCAGCAGUGGGGAAUAUUGGACGAUGGGCGAAAGCCUGAUCCAGCCAUACCGCGUGGGUGAAGAAGGCCUUCGGGUUGUAAAGCCCUUUUGUUGGGAAAGAAAAGCAGCAGGUUAAUACCCCGCUGUUCUGACGGUACCCAAAGAAUAAGCACCGGCUAACUUCGUG